GUUCCUGACUAGCUCAACUGGGAAGAGCAUGGCGUUAACGUCACCAGGUUUAGGGGUUCGAUUCCCACUGGGACCA